UGCUUUUUAGGUAAGUUCAGUGAACUU
rnacentral:sRNA from 1 species